UACGUAGGGUGCAAGCGUUAAUCGGAAUUACUGGGCGUAAAGCGUGCGCAGGCGGCUUUGCAAGACAGAUGUGAAAUCCCCGGGCUCAACCUGGGAACUGCAUUUGUGACUGCAAGGCUAGAGUACGGUAGAGGGGGAUGGAAUUCCGCGUGUAGCAGUGAAAUGCGUAGAUAUGCGGAGGAACACCGAUGGCGAAGGCAAUCCCCUGGGCCUGUACUGACGCUCAUGCACGAAAGCGUGGGGAGCAAACAGG
rnacentral:rRNA from 1 species